AUCAUGGGAGUGGGUUUGGCCCCUCUUGCACUCUCUCUCUCUCUCUACCCCCCUUGCUUCUGUCAUGUGAUGUCUUCCACCAUGUUAUAGCACAGCAAGAAGGCCCAUGCCAGAUACUGGCACCUUGAUAUUGGAUUUCCCAGCCUCCACAACUAACCAGGAUGAUGACUAAUUUCCCGCAAUAAACAAAUAAACUCAAAAUCUGAAUAUGGCCUUUAGACCUUGGAUGAGCUGAUUUUCCUCAGAGGAUCCAGAUUUUGUGAAGCUGUCCCAUUCAAAGCCACCCCCAGAGGCCCGGAGGAGACCACAAAGCUGCGAACACAGCCGGGACCUGCCCACUGACACACUGAAGAGUCAACACGAUUCAGGAAAGCACUUUCAAAGAGUGUUUUAUCUUGGACAGAUAAUAUUCCGUUUUGUUUCUGAGAGGCAAUGACAAUCUCUAGUUCGAUUGUAAAACUAUUUCCUUCAAAUAUACAUUUUUAUCUAUGGAGAGUGGUGUUAUUUGGGGUUUUACAAACCUAAGAAGUUUACAUUUGGCAACAGUGAUUGUUCC
rnacentral:lncRNA from 1 species